AGAUUACAUACGCCAACAGCCCACCCAAACUGGCUCUGGAAGCACUUGAGGUGUUCUACCGCCUGCAUGUGGCCAUCCUGAAGCAGCUGUUGAAGAAGGACGGGAUGGUGGACUACGAGCUGUUCCAGCACUACCUCACCGAGGCUGCAGAGAGUCCCUUCGCAAAGGGAAAGGAGAAGAGACAUGAAAGGCGAGAGUCCCACUCAGCCUCCAUGGAUGAGAGCUCCUCCUCUAACCUCACUCCCCAGCCUACAAACAGCUGAAGGCCCGCCCAG